rnacentral:lncRNA from 1 species
CCAAUCUCCCAAAUCCACAUGUUGAAGUUCUCACUCCCAAUGUGCCUGUAUUUGGAGACAGGGCCCUUUCAGAGAUACUUAAAAUAAGCCAGGUUAUAAGGGUGGGGCCCUAAUCUGAUAGGACCUGUGUCCUUACAAGAAGAGGAAGAAACAUGAUAGGAAAGACCAUGUGAGAACACAGUGAGAAGGUGGCCGUCUGCAAGGCAGGAAGAGAGCCCUCACCAGAAACCAACCCUGCUGUCCUACCUUGAUCUUGGACUUCUACCCUCCAGAACUGUGAGAAAAUAAGUGCCUGUUGUUUAAUCUCCCAGUCUGUGAUAUUUUGUUUUGGCAGCCUGAGCUGCCUAAUAUGAUAACCUGAUCUUGGAAGUGACAUCUCACCACUUUUGCCAGUUCUAUUCCUUAGAAGCAAGUCAUCAGGUUCAGCCCACACUCUAGGGAGGAGGUUCCACAAGGGCAUAAAUACGAGAAUGAGAGGGUUGGAAGCCACUUAGAGGCUGCCUAUCACGGGCACUGCUGUCUCUUCCUAAGAUGGCUAAAAUAUAAUAAUAUUUAACAUUUAUCUAGCAUUUGCAGUUAGUAUAUACUAAACACGGAUGAUUCAUUAAUUCUCUCAACAAAUGUGUGUGUGAGGUAUUAUAAUUAUUCCAAUUUUACAGACGGGGAGACCGAGUCUCAGAAAGGUCAAGUAAUGUGCCCAGGGUCACAUAACAAGUAAAGGACAGGACUGCUAUCUGAACAUAAGUAACUCGCUCAGAGGUCUCACCCUCCCACUCUUGUUUUCCUCCAAUCUGCUACCAACACAAUAGCCAGAGCAUUUGCUCUGUCACCCAGGCUGGAGUGCAGUGGUGUGAUCUCAGCCCACUGCAACCUCCGCCUCCCAGGUUCAAACUAUUCUCAUGCCCCAGCCUCCUUAGUAGCUGGGAUUACAGGUGUGUGCCACCACACCCAGCUAAUUUUUGUAUAUUUAGUGGAGACAGGGUUUCACCAUGUUGGUUAGGCUGGUCUCGAACUCCUGGCCUCAAGUGAUCCACCCACCUUGGCCUCCCAAAGUGCUGGGGUUACAGGCAUGAGCCACUGCACCUGGCCCAGAGCAUUCAUUUAAAUCAGACAUGCCAUCUCAUUUAAAACCCUCCAAUCCUAUUCCACUUUAAAUAAGUUCCAAAUCCCCCUACUAUGAUGCUGUGGGCUGAAUUAUGUAUCCCUCACCCUAACCCCCUCCAAAUUCUAAGUCCUAACCCUCAUUGUUUCCUUCCAAAUCCUACCUUCUUUAGAGUUAGGGCCUCUGUGGAGGUACUUAUGUUAAAAUGAUUUCAUUUGACUGGGCCUUAAUCCGAUAUGACUGGCAUCCUUAUAAGAAAGGCAUACACCGACACAAGCAGAAGGCAGACCACGUGAAGACAUAGGGAAAAGUCAGCAUUCUACAAACCAAAGAGAGCAGCCCAGAACAGAUCCUUGUCUCACAGCCCUCAGAAGGAACCAACCCUGCUGACACCUUGAUCUUCAACUUCUAGCCUUUGAACUGCAAGAAAAUACAUUUCAGUCACUUUAAGCCACCCUGCCAGCGGCACUUUGUGUGGCAGCUCGAGGAAGCAGAUGCCUGCCACUUGCUCCUGGCUCACCUAAGCCAUGGCAGCCUCCUUUCACUUCUUUGCAAAUACUCUUCCAUCUUAGGGCCUUUGCAUGUGUGUUUUUUUUCUGCCUAGAACAUUUUUUUCUUCUUGUUUUGAGACAGAGUCUUACUCUGUCACUCACGCUGGAGUGCAGUGACGUGAUCAUAGCUCACUGCAGCCUCAACCUCCCUGGGCUCAAGUGAUUCUCCUACCUCAGCCUCCUGACGAGCUAGGACUACAGGCAUGUGCCACCACUCCCAGCUAAUUUUUUUUUUUUUUUUUUUGAGACGGAGUCUUGCUUUGUUGCCCAGGCUGGAGUGCAGUGGCGUGAUCUCUGCUCACUGUAACCUCUGCCUCCUGGGUUCAAGCUAUUCUCCUGCGUCAGCCUCCUGAGUAGCUGGGACUACAGGCAUGUGCCACUACGCCUGGCUAAUUUUUUGUAUUUUUAGUAGAGAUGGGUUUCACCAUAUUAGCCAGGAUGGUAUCCAUCUCCUGACCUCGUGAUCCACCUGCCUCGGCCUCCCAGCUAACUUUUUUUGUAGAGACAGGGUCUUGCUAUGUUGCUCGGGCUGGUCUCAAAUUCCUGGGCUCAGGAGAUCCUCCUACCUUGGCUUCCCAAAGUGCUGGGAUUACAGGCAUGAGCCACCACAACCAGCCUCUAGAACAGUCUUACUUCCCUUCCUCAAUGCUCAUUCCCUCUUAUUCCUCCACUCUCAGCCUCAUUUCACCCCUUUAGUGAAGCUUUUAAUUCCUUUCUUACCUAAAGAGUUCUGCCUGUUGUUCUCUACCCUAACACACUGUAAAUUUUCUUUAUUGCACUUACCACAAUGUAUAAUUAGACGUUUCUUUGUUUAUUUGUUGCUUUUCUCUCCCCCUAGAGUGUAGAGUCUCAAGGACAGGAAUUGCAUCUGUGUUAUUUGCCAGAGCGUCUCCAGCAUACAACACAGUUCAUGGAACCCAGUGCGUGCCCAGCAACGAUCAGUUGAAUGACUAGAGUAGUGAUUCUCAACCCUGGCUGCACAGGAGAGUCACUCGGGGGUGCUUUAAGAAACAAUGAUCCUUGAUUUUCACCCCCGUGAGAUGCUGAGUCAGUCCCAUGCAACUAGAUUGAGGACAAGAGGAUAAGGGAAACCAUUUCCUUUUCAAUCUGUGAAGGAGGUUGAUUUUGUGUUCCAAGCCUGUGAUCAUUAACUGUUUUCCAGCUCUACCAGCAUCCUGUCCAAGCCUUUAAGAUGAGGAACAAAUUCUAUGUGAGGAGAAAUGGCAAAAAUUGACUGGAAGGCUUGCUGGUCUUGUGAGAUACUGAACUGGAGACAGCAGAAAAAUGCAUCCUCCUGAUAUUGUGAGCAACCUCCUCUCUUCUUCCCUCUCUCCUCUUCUUCCCUUUCUUCUGUUUUCCCUUCUAGGAGCCAAGAGCAUAGGCUCUGGAACCAGCCUGCCUGGUUUGAAUCAUGCCUCUGCCUGGGGAUCUUGGGCAGGUUGCUUGGUCUCUCUGAGCCUGUUUUUUUCAUCUGUGCAAGAAUCACAACUCUCUUGUGAGAAUUUAAUGUGCUAAUCUGCAUAAAGCACAUAGACAACUGUCUGGCUCAUGAUGGGAGUGUAACUGUGGUUAUUUCUUCCUAUUUUCUUCCCUCCCUUCCAACAGAAGAAAGUCUCUGAGAUGCGUGUCUUAUGUGGCAUAUGCUGGACUUGGUGCCUGGGGUUCAUUGGCAGACUAGUCCCUCUGGUACCUCCAGCAAGGAAGAUAGAUGUUAAUUAUUAAUUGAUACCCAUUGUGAUAAAUCUCACAAGGUACCAUGAAUGGGUAUAACAGCUCCCUUUCUGUGGAGGAGGUGGAGGUGAUAGGUAAGACUUCCUGGAGGAAGUAACAUUUGAACAGAGAUCUGAAAGAUAAAAUACUUCCAGGAGGAGUGUGUGUGUGUGUAAGUCAGUCAACAUCAGAACACCUCCAGCAGUGGAAACAGUGUAUAGGAAGCUCUGAAGUAGGAAGGAUCCUCUGUUAAUGGUUUUUUUGUUGUUGUUUUCCCUCUUCGAGACAGAGUCUCAGUCUGUUGCCCAGGCUGGAAUGCAGUGGCACAGUCUCAGCUCACUGCAACCUCUGCCUCCCAGGUUCAAGCGAUUCUCGUACUUCAGCCUCCUGAGUAGCUGGGAUUACAGGUAUGCACCACCAUGCCCCAAUCAUUUUGUAUUCUUAAUAGAGAUAGGGUUUCUCAAACUCCUGGCCUCAAGUGAUCCGCCUGCCUCAGCCUCCCAAAGUGCUGGGAUUACAAGUGUGAGCCACCAUGCCUGACCCAUUAAUGUUUUGAAUAGGUAAUACUUUCGCAUGGUCCAAAUUCCAAAAAAUACAAAAGGAUAAACAGUGAAAUGUCUCCCUUUUUCCAUUUACCACCUUCCCCCUACCUCUAUCCCUGAAGCAACAAAUGAACCAAUUUCUUUGGUAUUCUUCUAGAAAUAUCCUGUGCAUACAUAAGCAAAAUGUAUGUGUGUAUGGUGUAUAUACAUAUAUACACACACUAUAUAUAGUGUGUAUAUGUGUAUAUAUAUACUAUAUAUAGUGUGUAUAUAUAUACACUAUAGUGUGUAUAUGUAUAUAUACUAUAUAUAGUGUGUAUAUGUGUAUAUAUAUACUACAUAUAGUGUGUAUAUGUAUAUGUGUAUAUAUACACAUAUAUAUACUAUAUAUAGUGUGUAUAUGUAUAUGUGUAUAUAUAGUGUGUAUAGUUUAUGUAUAUACAUAUCCACACUAUAUAUAGUAUAUAUAUGAUAUUCACAUAUCAUCUUUUAUUUUUUAAUAUGAAAAAUGCUUCUCCGUUAUUUGCUUUUUUCACCUUUCUCUUAAAUACGUAUCUUGGAGAUCCUUCCUUAUGAGUACACAGUUAACUUUCUUAUUUUCUUUUCUGAGUGGCAGAGUACACCAUGUAGUACCCUAUAAUUUGUUUAAGCAACCUCCUACUGAUGGAUGUUUGGGUUAUUUCUACUCUUCUGCUAUUAUUUAAAAAAACUAUAAUCGAUAAUCUGAUACCGGUGCAAUUUGCUCCUGUGCAACUGUCUGUGGGAUAAAUUUCUAAAAGUGUAAUAGUUGGGUCAAAUGACACACUUUUCUCCACAGAGGUUGUAAAAAAUUUACACCCACCCCUCAAGGAAUGUUUGAGUUCCCAUAGUGGCAUCAAGCACCAUGUAUUAUUGAGUUCUUUUUAAUUUUGCCAAUCUGAUAGGUGAAAAUUCAUAUCUCAGCAUAGUUUUAAUUUGCAUUUAUCUUACUCUGAAUAACACAGAGCGUGUUUUCAUUUGCCCAAGAAUCACUUGUGUUUCUUUUCUUACGAACUGUUCUUAUCUUUUGUCCAUUUUUCUGUGAUGAAUCUGCUCUUUUGCUUAUUGAUUUUAUACAUUAGGGGAAUUAGCCAUUUUCCACGCCAUGCUUCA